GCGGGUGUAGCUCAGCUGGUAGAGCCUCUGCCUUCCAAGCAGUUGGUCGUGGGUUCGAGUCCCAUCAUCCGCUCCA
rnacentral:tRNA from 1 species